CCCAGACUCCUACGGGAGGCAGCAGUGAGGAAUAUUGGUCAAUGGGCGCGAGCCUGAACCAGCCAAGUCGCGUGAGGGAUGAAGGAUCUAUGGUUCGUAAACCUCUUUUAUAAGGGAAUAAAGUGCGGGACGCGUCCCGCUUCGCAUGUACCUUAUGAAUAAGGAUCGGCUAACUCCGUGCCAGCAGCCGCGGUAAUACGGAGGAUCCGAGCGUUAUCCGGAUUUAUUGGGUUUAAAGGGUGCGCAGGCGGGAGAUCAAGUCAGCGGUAAAAUGUCGGGGCUCAACCCCGGCCGGCCGUUGAAACUGGUUUUCUAGAGUUGGAGAGAAGUAUGCGGAAUUCGUGGUGUAGCGGUGAAAUGCAUAGAUAUCACGAAGAACUCCGAUUGCGAAGGCAGCAUACCGGCUCCAUACUGACGCUGAGGCACGAAAGCGUGGGGAUCGAACAGGAUUAGAUACCCCGGUAC
rnacentral:rRNA from 1 species